UACGUAGAAGACUAGUGUUAUUCAUCUUUAAUAGGUUUAAAGGGUACCUAGACGGUAUAAUUAGUCUUUAACAGGAAACGGUUAUACUAGAGUUAUAUAUGAGGAGGCGAGUAUUUGUGGAGUAGAGUUGAAAUUCUUUGAUACCAUGAAGACUGGUAAAAGGCUGAAAGCAACCUUUAAUCUAAUAACUGACGUUGAGGGACGAAGGCUACGGGUCG
rnacentral:rRNA from 1 species